AAAUUGAAGAGUUUGAUCAUGGCUCAGAUUGAACGCUGGCGGCAGGCCUAACACAUGCAAGUCGAGCGGUAGCACAGAGAGCUUGCUCUCGGGUGACGAGCGGCGGACGGGUGAGUAAUGUCUGGGAAACUGCCUGAUGGAGGGGGAUAACUACUGGAAACGGUAGCUAAUACCGCAUAACGUCGCAAGACCAAAGUGGGGGGCCUUCGGGCCUCAUGCCAUCAGAUGUGCCCAGAUGGGAUUAGCUAGUAGGUGGGGUAACGGCUCACCUAGGC
rnacentral:rRNA from 1 species